AUGUUGGCACCAACAUUGGAUAAGCACAAAUAAGGUGGCGCCAAAGAGUCCAAGUUUAUCAGGACUCUUUGGUUCUUAUCCAUUUGGGGUGCCCACUUAAAUCCAAUUGAGCUUACACCAUAAUCUGAUUAUGGCACCCAAUUUGAAGUGAUUUGGAUAUGUGGACACUCCACAAAAAUCCUCCAAUGAAUCCUCUUCAG
rnacentral:lncRNA from 1 species